AACUCACGACCUUAUGCUGAUUGCUGGACUGCAUUCCCUCGCCAUAUAAGCCGUACCCUCGCCACUGAAGACGACCCGCGCGGACACCUUUUUUAAGGGGGUACGCGGCAACAUCCCCCCUUGCGCCGGGGCUCUGGAUGGUCAACAUGUGGCCCUUUCGUGCGGUGCAUCAAAAAGCGCCCGCGAGGAGUUUUGGAUGAUUGGUCUAGUACUGGUGACCCACGGGCGUCUUGC
rnacentral:misc_RNA from 1 species